AACGAACGCUGGCGGCAGGCCUAACACAUGCAAGUCGAGCGCGCCUUCGGGUGAGCGGCGGACGGGUUAGUAACGCGUGGGAACGUACCCUUUUCUACGGAAUAGCCUUUGGAAACGAAGAGUAAUACCGUAUACGCCCUUUGGGGGAAAGAUUUAUCGGAGAAGGAUCGGCCCGCGUUAGAUUAGAUAGUUGGUGGGGUAACGGCCUACCAAGUCUACGAUCUAUAGCUGGUUUUAGAGGAUGAUCAGCAACACUGGGACUGAGACACGGCCCAGACUCCUACGGGAGGCAGCAGUGGGGAAUCUUAGACAAUGGGCGCAAGCCUGAUCUAGCCAUGCCGCGUGAGUGAUGAAGGCCUUAGGGUCGUAAAGCUCUUUCGCCUGUGAUGAUAAUGACAGUAGCAGGUAAAGAAACCCCGGCUAACUCCGUGCCAGCAGCCGCGGUAAUACGGAGGGGGUUAGCGUUGUUCGGAAUUACUGGGCGUAAAGCGCACGUAGGCGGAUUGGAAAGUUGGGGGUGAAAUCCCGGGGCUCAACCCCGGAACUGCCUCCAAAACUAUCAGUCUAGAGUUCGAGAGAGGUGAGUGGAAUUCCAAGUGUAGAGGUGAAAUUCGUAGAUAUUUGGAGGAACACCAGUGGCGAAGGCGGCUCACUGGCUCGAUACUGACGCUGA
rnacentral:rRNA from 1 species